rnacentral:rRNA from 1 species
AUUGAACGCCGGCGGCAUGCAUUACACAUGCAAGUCGAACGGCAGCGCGGGAGCAAUCCUGGCGGCGAGUGGCGAACAGGUGAGUAAUAUAUCGGAACGUGCCCAGUAGUGGGGGAUAGCCCGGCGAACGCCGGAUUAAUACCGCAUACGACCUGAGGGUGAAAGGGGGGGAUCGCAAGACCUCUCGCUAUUGGAGCGGCCGAUAGCAGAUUAGGUAGUUGGUGGGGUAAAGGCCUACCAAGCCUGCGAUCUGUAGUUGGUCUGAGAGGACGACCAGCCACACUGGGACUGAGACACGGCCCAGACUCCUACGGGAGGCAGCAGUGGGGAAUUUUGGACAAUGGGCGCAAGCCUGAUCCAGCAAUGCCGCGUGCAGGAAGAAGGCCUUCGGGUUGUAAACUGCUUUUGUCAGGGAAGAAAUCCUCUAGGCUAAUACCUUGGGGGGAUGACGGUACCUGAAGAAUAAGCACCGGCUAACUACGUGCCAGCCGCCGCAGUAA